UACGUAGGUGGCAAGCGUUGUCCGGAUUUACUGGGCGUAAAGAGCGCGCAGGCGGUCGUUCAAGUCGCGUGUGAAAGCCCCCGGCUCAACUGGGGAGGGUCACGCGAUACUGAUCGACUGGAAGGCAGGAGAGGGUAGUGGAAUUCCCGGUGUAGUGGCGAAAUGCGUAGAUAUCGGGAGGAACACCAGUGGCGAAGGCGACUACCUGGCCUGUUCUUGACGCUGAGGCGCGAAAGCUAGGGGAGCAAACGGG
rnacentral:rRNA from 1 species